GCAGGCGUAGCCAAGCAGUUAAGGCAAGAGGCUGCAACCCUCUCAUCCCCGGUGCAAUUCCGGGCGUCUGCU
rnacentral:tRNA from 1 species